AGUGCCAACUGACGUGCUGGCCAAGGCCUUCAGGGUUGAUAACGAAGACAUCGACGCCGUCAAGGCUAGGUUCAAGUAGGGAGACUCUGCCCUGGGCACCUCUCCAUCCGUUUCGGAAGAAAAUAAAUCGUUUGUUUGUUACUGAAUAAAUGGUAUUCAAGUCAUCAAGUGAUCUGUAGCGUGUAGGUGAUUUUGUUGUUGUGUAUGUUACAUUUGUUCGUCUUUGAGACAAUAAAACUUGCUUCUGUUUCACGUACUGUAUGUUACUACAUUUUAGUAGUGCGCCUUGGUGUCUUGAUGUGUUAUUACUUUAGUGUUUUCAGCUUGUCGACAAAUCUAUAAAUUGGCAGUAGUUUUCCAAGCUACAUUUUUCAUAAGCCUAACCACCCAAAUACAUGAGACCUUUGUCGUAUGAGAAAAAAAAUCAACUGAUCAGUGGGAGAGGAAAAACCGGGAGAUAUCGGAGAAUAAACCACCCACGUAAAGAAGAAAACCAACUGAUAAGCGAGAGAGGGAAAACCGGGAGAAGUGGCUCUCGAAGCGUUUGACUAGCAAGAUCAAAAUUGGAAUGUUAGCAUAACUUUUGGGAAUAGAACUCAUGAAGUCUUUCUUUCUGCCUCUCACAUGGUAUGGUACGAAAUACUACAAUCUUUAUUUGCCUUUGUUGCUUACCUCUAAUGAAUGCCCUAAACGAUGGGCCACUCUAGGGGUAAGUGGUCUCUCUUUUUUAAUUGAAGUUUCGUUGUCUUUUUUGAAGAAAACCUUUAUGGUGGUUAUACUCGCUCCGUCCUAAAAUAAGUGUCUCAAGUUUGUACUAAAGUUAGUACAAAGCUGAGUUACUUAUUUUGGGAUGAAGGGAGUAUUAAAUUAUGCAUAAUGAAUACAUCGUUUGCUAGUAAUACAUUAGCCAAAAAUGAAGGAUGCUCCCCGUUCCAAACAGUAAUUCAGGGAUCCAUCAACAGCGCUAUUAGCUUCCCUAGGGCAAUGAUUAAAAGAAACAAAACUGAAGUUGAGAGACAAUAACAAGCACUCGUCGAAGAUGGCUGCAGCGGGGCCUAUAGAAUUACCUACUUCAUCACUUCCACCGCCUCGGGACAGUCUGAUUCAAUACUCAAAAGGAAAAAGAGACAGUCUGAUUCAACCUCGACCUGACCUGCCAAGAUCAGACCGUGUAGAAGUGUCCUCGCCUCUGAUGUUACUGCAUGUCUGCAUCUUAAGUAUGAGCAAUUUUCAGUGUGUUUUGGCAGCCUCGCCGGCCCAAGACGUAUGUGAUCGUCGUGCAUGGCCGUGCAUGUAAUAACUAUUUUGGAAAUAAGGUAUGUGGUUACAAAUGGUAAAAUUUAAGACCCGUCCGGUCAUUGUCCGCGAGCGCGUCCGCGGGUUCCGGCUGUGGAUGCUCUAACCACCACGAACAACAUCAGAUUCUUUGGCAUAAGUCUCGCCUCGCCCUCGCUGCUUCGUCCUCUAUACUCCUUCCGUUCCAUAAUGUAAUGCAUAUAGAUUUUAUGAACUGUCAAACUUAACAAACUUUGAUCAAGUUUAUGAAGGAAACUACAUAUAUCUCCAAUACCAAACAUAUACAAUAUGGAUAUUUAACUCACAAUGUAUCCAAUGAUAUACGUUUGGUAUUCUAAAUAUAAAUAAGUUUCUCUCUAUACAUGAUCAAAGUUUAUAAAAUUUGACUUAAAAAAUAUAUAUGCACUACAUUAUGGAAUGAAGGGAGUAUUUGAAAAUAUGGUGAGUGGGUGAGUGCUCAGUUUAGCCCACGGAAAAAAUAUUCCCACAAGAAACAAAAGUCUCUGAUGGGGCAUGGUGUUGGGCACAAUGAUUUCCAGUAACAAUUAAGUAAGUAGUACGAGAGCUGUUCCAGCUCACCCUCGCAAGCAAAAUAUUCAGAAGCCAUCCACCCCCUCUCCCCUUCUGGCAAAAAAUCAGGAUGAAGUUCUUGACCAGAAUGGCUCCUCUUUGAUGCAAGUGGAAUUGAUUACUGGCUGGGACAGCUUGCCAUCAAUGAGGAAGGGGUAUGUAUGUAUUGGUAGAUUGCCAUGAGGUCUAACGGUAGGAGUACUAUCUUGGUUCGGGUGUAUUAGACCCCCUCUUAUUUUAAGCUGAAGUUUGACCAAAGAUUUAACUAAAAAAAUGUAAACUAUAUGUCACAAAAAUUAUACUACCAGAAACCUUUUUCGAAUACAAAUCCAACAAUCUAUUUUUUGUAGCAUGUAGUUUAUAUUUUAUUAGUCAAACAGAUAGUCAAAUUUUGACCGAAAAUGUGAAGGGCCUAAUAAAUCCGGAGGGAGCGACUACGAACUAGCAUGUGCAACUACUCGAUACACCCGUCGCCAUGCAUGUGCAAUCGUGAAUUGUUCGUGGCAAGAGACCCGCGAAAAUGGGUGGUUGUUUCCCCGUGUCUCAUAGCGUGCCACCGAAUGGAUUGGAUCAUGGAUCUGAUUCAGAGUAGUAGCAGGAAGCCUCCAUGCAGCGGGUAAACAACUAGUAUAUCUCCAUUGGCUCCAAAUUAAUGGAAUCGUAUGCUUGCUUCCAGUUCCAUCCCCAUCUAACCCUGUCGCCUCGUCGCAGCCUCCCACUGUUUGACCUUGAGAUGGCGAUGCCAUCCAUAGUUCCACACACAAAUCACCUUGCCUACAAGUACCACCUCCUACCUCUGCUAUUUCCAGACCCAAGCUAUACCACCAAGCUCGUAGCAAGCAAGCAUUGACCAAUCCACCAUGGCUGGGCUUCAGCUUUCCGUCCUAGCGGCCUGCGCCGUCCUCUUCGUGCUCGCCGCCCCCUCCAUCGCCGGCGACCCCGACAUGCUCCAGGACGUCUGCGUCGCCGACCUGGCAUCCCGUGAGUCAUCCUACAAAAUUAUGUGUUCAUCUUAGUUUGUCAACUUUGUCUUUGGAUCUUGGUGUCCUGGUUGUUGCUCACGCUGUGUGUUCGUCCAAAUGCUUUGCGGCAGCGAUCAAGAUCAACGGCUUCCCGUGCAAGGCCAACAUCACGGCGGACGACUUCUUCUUCGCCGGUCUGAAGAAGGCCGGCAACACCAAGAACCUGGCUGGUUCUGUCGUCACGGCGGCGAACGUGCAGUCAUUCCCCGGGGUGAACACGCUCGGCGUGUCCAUGGCGCGCAUCGACUACGCGGUUGGAGGACAGAACCCGCCGCACACCCACCCGCGCGCCACCGAGAUCAUCUUUGUCACCCAGGGAACCCUUGAGGUGGGGUUCGUCACCACCAACAACAAGCUCUUCACUAGGUUCGUCACCGUCGGAGAGGUGUUCGUCUUCCCGCGUGGCCUCGUGCACUUCCAGCAGAACAGGGGACAUGGCCCCGCCUCCGUCAUCGCCGCCUUCAACAGCCAGCUCCAGGGCACCCAAGCCAUCGCCACCACGCUCUUGGCUGCCACACCACCAGUGCCAACCGACGUGCUGGCCAAGGCCUUCAGGGUUGAUAACGAAGACAUCGACGCCGUCAAGGCCAGGUUCCAGUAGGGAGUCUCUGCCGUCGGCACCUCUCCAUCCGUUUCGGAAGCAAAAAAUCGUCUGUUCGUUAUUACUGAAUGAAUUGAUGUAGCGUGUAGUUGAUUUUUUCACGUGUAUGUUACAUUGAUGUGUUAUACAUUAGCGUUUUAAACUUGUCAACGAGUCUAUAACUUGGUAGUUUUGCCAGGAUAUAUUUGCUGUAAGGACAAAAGGCAACUCCAAUGGGCUGACCUAAACGGACACGCAAUGUAUCAGUUUUUUGUCCGUUUAGAUCGCCGCGCGGACACCAAAAGUCUACUUGUGUCCCGCCCGCCGGUGUGUCCAACGCGUCGGGCAACAUUUCAGUUUUUU
rnacentral:lncRNA from 1 species